rnacentral:rRNA from 1 species
AUUGAACGCUGGCGGCAUGCCUAACACAUGCAAGUCGAACGGCAGCACGGGUGUUUCCACCUGGUGGCGAGUGGCGAACGGGUGUGUAAUAUAUCGGAACAUGUCCUGUAGUGGGGGAUAGCCCGGCGAAAGGCGGAUUAAUACCGCACAUGAUGUGCGGAUGAAAGCGGGGGCUUCUGGGGCCUCGCGCUAAGGGGUUGGCCGAUGGCUGAUUAGCUAGUUGGUGGGGUAAAGGCCUACCAAGGCGACGAUCAGUAGCUGGUCUGAGAGGACGACCAGCCACACUGGGACUGAGACACGGCCCAGACUCCUACGGGAGGCAGCAGUGGGGAAUAUUGGACAAUGGGCGAAAGCCUGAUCCAGCAAUGCCGCGUGUGUGAAGAAGGCCUUCGGGUUGUAAAGCACUUUUGGCCGGAAAGAAAUCCAUGGCCCUAAUACGGUCGUGGGAUGACGGUACCGGAAGAAUAAGCACCGGCUAACUACGUG